rnacentral:tRNA from 1 species
GCUGAUUUGGCCGAGUGGUCUAAGGCGGUGCACUUAAGAUGCACUCUCUGAGGAGGCGUGGGUUCGAACCCCACAGUCAGCA